rnacentral:rRNA from 1 species
AGUAACGCGUGGGUAACCUGCCCUUAAGUCUGGGAUACCAUUUGGAAACAGAUGCUAAUACCGGAUAAAAGCUACUUUCGCAUGAAAGAAGUUUAAAAGGCGGCGUAAGCUGUCGCUAAAGGAUGGACCUGCGAUGCAUUAGCUAGUUGGUAGGGUAACGGCCUACCAAGGCGAUGAUGCAUAGCCGAGUUGAGAGACUGAUCGGCCACAUUGGGACUGAGACACGGCCCAAACUCCUACGGGAGGCAGCAAGUG